rnacentral:ribozyme from 1 species
UGCUCAGAAACUCCUUUUCCUACCUCCUCGUGGUACUGACCGCUGUACGAGAACCUUAGGGAAGGUCGGGUAACCAAAUCCGGAGGGAACUUUGUUCGUAUGCUGAAGGGGGAGG